rnacentral:sRNA from 1 species
AGCAGAAGCACGCACUUUCUUAAAAUGUCGCUGUUUGGAGACACAAUUGCCUACCUGCUUUCAUUGACAGAAGAUGGAGAAGGCAAAGCAGAACUGAGGUAUUGAAUGACCACAUAAUAAUUGAGGGGCUUUCUGCCGAAGAGAUAAUAAAAAUGGGUGAAACAGUUUUGGAGAUAGAAGAAUUGCAUUAAAUUCAAUUUUACUGUAUUUCUUACUAUGCAUUUAAGCAAAUUGUAAUCAAUGUCAGCAAAUAAACUGGAAAAAGUGCGUUGUUUCUACU